GGUGGCUCAGUGGUAGAGUGCUUGCUUUGCAUGCAUAAGGCCCUGGGUUCAAUUCCUCAGCACCA
rfam:Dipodomys ordii contig_70942, whole genome shotgun sequence.